GACGAACGCUGGCGGCGGGCUUAACACAUGCAAGUCGAACGGAAAGGCCCUGCUUUUUUGUGGUGCUCGCGUGGCGAACGGGUGAGUAACACGUGAGUAACCUGCCCUUGACUUUGGGAUAACUUCAGGAAACUGGGGCUACUACCGGCUAGGAGCUCCUGCUGCAUGGUGGGGGUUGGAAAGUUUCGGCGGUUGGGGAUGGACUCGCGGCUUAUCAGCUUGUUGGUGGGGUAGUGGCUUACCAAGGCUUUGACGGGUAGCCGGCCUGAGAGGGUGACCGGGCACAAUGGGACUGAGGGACGGACCAGACUCCUAUGGGGGGCAGCAGGGGGGAAUAUUGCACAAUGGGCGGAAGCGUGAUGCAGCAACGCCGCGUGCGUGAUGACGGCCUUCGGGGUGUAAACCGCUUUCGCCUGUGACGAAGCGUUAGUGACGGUAAUGGGUAAAGAAGCACCGGCUAACUACGUG
rnacentral:rRNA from 1 species